rnacentral:rRNA from 1 species
UCCUACGGGAGGCAGCAGUGAGGAAUAUUGGGCAAUGGACGAAAGUCUGACCCAGCAACGCCGCGUGGAGGAUGAAUGCCGUAAGGUUGUAAACUCCUUUUGAGAGGGACGAAAACCCAUAUUUCGUAAGGGAUAUGGUUUGACUGUACCUCUAGAAGAAGCCCCGGCUAACUACGUGCCAGCAGCCGCGGUAAUACGUAGGGGGCAAGCGUUAUUCGGAUUGAUUGGGUGUAAAGGGUGUGCAGACGGCUUACUAAGUCACUUGUUAAAUUCCUCGGCCUAACUGAGGAUCUGCAGGUGAUACUGGAAAGCUAGAGGGUGGAAGAGAGAAGUGGAAUUCUCGGAGUAGCGGUAAAAUGCGUAGAUCUCGAGAGGAACACCAAUGGCGAAGGCAGCUUCUUGGUCCAUUCCUGACGUUCAUACACGAAAGCGUGGGGAGCAAACAGGAUUAGAUACCCGAGUAGUCCAAGCCG